GGAGGUGUCAGUUCAAUUGGUUCACCACUAUCCUGAGGGCCCCUGGGCUGGGACCUGGAGUAGAGGGUGGGCCCAAGUCCCUCUCUCUCCACUCCCCUCCUCAAGUGCACUAG